AUGGCCACCUCCGCCGCGCCUGCGUCGCCGCACCCGCACGCCCUCUUCCUCCCCUACCCGGCGCAGGGCCACGUCAUCCCGUUCAUGGAGCUCGCCCACCGCUUCCUCGACCGCGGCUUCGCCGUCACCUUCGUCAACACCAGGUUCAACCACCGCCGCGUCGUCGCAGCCGCCGCCGGCGCGACGACGGCGUACUCAUCAGAAGGAGGAGGACGGCUGCGUCUGGUUGCGGUCGACGACGGGAUAGACGACGCCGGGGACCACGAGAACCUCAUCCUGCUCAACGCCGCCAUGCAGGAGGCCAUCCCGCCGCAGCUGGAGGCGCUUCUCGACGGCGAGGACGCGACCGGCGAGGGGCUGGGAAAGGUGACAUGCGUGGUGGUCGACUCCGGCAUGUCGUGGGCGCUGGAUGUUGUGAGGCGUCGGGGGCUCCCGUCGGCCGCGCUCUGGCCGGCGUCUGCGGCCGUGCUCUCGGUGCUGGUCAACGCCAAGAGACUGAUACGCGAUGGCGUCAUCGAUGACGACGGAGCACCCGUUAACUUGGAGAACAACUCAUUCCAUCUCAACGAGUCCGCAACGUCCAUGGACGCGACCUUCCUCGCCUGGAAUUACAUGGGCAACCGUGACGCCGAGCGCCUGGUGUUCCACUACCUCACGUCCACAGCGCAGGCCGCCGCAGCGAAGGCCGACUUCCUCCUCUGCAACACCUUCUCCGACAUCGAGCCGGCCGUCUUCGCCGGCCCCACGCCGGCUACCAUCCUCCCCAUCGGCCCGCUCCGCACAUGGCAGCGACCGACGAGACAUGCGCCCGUGGGGCACUUCUGGCACGCCGACGACGCCGCCUGCAUGUCCUUCCUGGACGCGCAACCCCGCGGAUCCGUCGUGUACGUGGCGUUCGGAAGCAUCAGCAUCAUGACCGCGGCGCAGCUUCAGGAGCUCGCGCUCGGGCUCGAGGCCUCCGGCCGGCCGUUCCUGUGGGUCGUCAGGCCUGAGCAGGCCGACAAGCUCCCAGACGGGUUUGCGGACGCCAUUGACGGGCUCGCGAAGGGCAAAGUGGUCGGCUGGGCACCGCAGGAGCAGGUAUUGGGACACCCCGCGGUGGGCUGCUUUGUCACACACUGCGGGUGGAACUCCACGCUAGAAGGCAUCCGCAAUGGACUGUCCAUGCUGUGCUGGCCAUACUUCACCGACCAGUUCACGAACCAGACAUAUAUAUGUGACAUCUGGAGGGUCGGGCUACGGGUUGCGUCGGCCGAGGGUGGCGGGCUGGUGAUGAAGGAGAGGGUGGUGGAGCUGCUGGAUAGGAUUUUCGAGGACGAAGGUGCCAAGGAAAGGGUGCUGAGGUUGAAGGAGAUGGCGGAGAAAAACAUGAGCGAAGAAGGCGAGUCGUUGAACAAUUUGAAUGUGCUGAUGGAGUCCAUGGGAAGGUAG
rnacentral:rRNA from 1 species